rnacentral:rRNA from 1 species
GAUGAACGCUGGCGGCGUGCCUAAUACAUGCAAGUCGAGCGAACAGAUGAGGAGCUUGCUCCUCUGACGUUAGCGGCGGACGGGUGAGUAACACGUGGAUCACCUCCCUAUAAGACUGGGAUAACUUCGGGAAACCGGAGCUAAUACCGGAUAAUAUAUUGAACCGCAUGGUUCAAUAGUGAAAGACGGUUUUGCUGUCACUUAUAGAUGGAUCCGCGCCGCAUUAGCUAGUUGGUAAGGUAACGGCUUACCAAGGCAACGAUGCGUAGCCGACCUGAGAGGGUGAUCGGCCACAUGGGAACUGAGACGCGGUCCAGACUCCUACGGGAGGCAGCAGUAGGGAAUCUUACGCAAUGGGCGAAAGCCUGACGGAGCAACGCCGCGUGAGUGAUGAAGGUCUUCGGAGCGUAAAACUCUGUUAUUAGUGAAGAACAAAUGUGUAAGUAACUAUGCACGUCUUGACGGUACCUAAUCAGAAAGCCACGGCUAACUACGUG